ACGAGUGUUGUUACAUAUUUGUAUAGGUAUCCUAGUUGCCUGCCCUAAUUAGUUCAGGAACAGCUCUUCUUUCUUCCCAAAAACGUUAGGAGAACUGAAAAAGAAAGCAUAUACUUAUCUUUUCUUCUCACCCCUGUAGCUUGUUGGGUCCUCCGGUACUGUGGAGCCUCUAAAAAUAGCAAACUAGUUUUGUUUUUCUGAAGAAAUAGCUAAUGGUUUUAUCCUUAUACACAAAUAUUCUUUAAGAAAAAAAGCCCACGCACCAAGUAAAAAUGCGCCUCAGCUAAUGAUAGUCUAGUAUAAUACCAAGACUCAAGGUAAUUAAGGUAAAAAAAAGUUAUUUCUUGAUGAGUUACUAGCCAUGAGAAAGAGAAAGAAAGGCUGUUUGGUUGGUCAUGGAGAAGCAUGUUCUUUCUUGCACUUCAUGCAUGUGUGCAUGGAUGGCACGAUUCUCUACGGCUAUCAAUUCUUUUGUGUUUGCUUUGUGCACCUUCCAAUGGAAGUAGUGAUAUGCUUUUUUAUCCUCCAUGCAUACAGCUGCUGCAUGCACACUCCAUCAGCAGCGUCAGAGAACAAAACCUAAAUACUAACCCCCGUUCCUCCUAUUCUUUUGCCGAUCCUGCGAUCAGGGUCGAUGCAGGUGCACCGGGCGGAUCAUCAGGAGCACAUAUACGGAAGCGGCGGCAUGCACAUAGAACUCUGCAAUGGUAUGCAGCAGCAGUGCGAUCAUGAGUGCGAUGGGCCCUGCUGCAUCUGCCGCCACUCGCCAAAGCCUAGAAAGGAGCCAAUGCUACCGCUUCACCCCCAACUGAAAAGGUCACUGCCUUUUAUUUUUUACUCAUUUCCUUUUAUUCUCUUUUUAUGUUCAUCAGUCACGUCAGGAGCUAGCCAUUCGCGUCGUGAAUAAUGACAACGUUUUUAGACCCUCCUUUGCCACUCGCUUUCUUCAGUUUUUGCCUGAGGUAGCAGUAGUAGCAUGGUCGUAGCCAAUCGAAUAUUAUUCCUUGGUGCACAUCUUGGAAUAAUUUGUCUUUGACAAGAAAGACGCAGACAGUCUGAGCGACAUGAUGUUCGCGUUGCCUGUUAUAGUAGUGCUGGUACUUUUUUUAUGUAUUUCAAGAAAGAUCCUGUGGAAUGUUUGUCUAUAAAUGACAGCGUGGUUGUUGGCCCGUUUCAUAUUAUAGAUUAUUUAGUGGUACUAGUAGUCAACAUCUACACCGGGCAUGCAUUCUACGGAGUACUGCAGAUGCUUUUUUAUUUUUUAUUAUUUUUUAGGGUUUAAUAAUCAGGGGUCAAACAUUUAAAACUUUGACCAUCAACAAUUUUGAGAUUUUAUUUUGGAAGAAAAGAAUACUUUCAUAGUGCUAUACAUUUAUUGGACACCAUAAGUUGAUGUUAAAAUAAAACAGUAGCAAAAAUUGCAUCUUAUAUAGAAAAGCCAUGAACAUCAAUUAUAUCAUGCAGUGGUAUUCCAUUUCCCUAAUGAUUUUGCUUUGGAGAGAAAAUGCGCUAAAGAUAUGCUUAUAUCGAUAGGUUCAGUUUACACCUUCCGUCUCAAAACUUCAAAAAACAUAAAGGUCAGUAAGCUUUUGCAUGGUCUCAAAAUUAAAUCAAACACCGCGUUUGUACUAGCAGUAAACAUGGUAAAAAUACGACCAAGUGAAAAUAGUGCUCCAUAUGAAUCUAUCAGGCAAACAUAGGUGAAACUUGCUUCAAAAGAGAAAUACACAUUUCUCCCACACCCACUAUAUUGUUCCUUUUUUUAUUUGAAGAUCUACUAUAUUGUUGUUUUACUAGUACAUUAUGUUUCUUCCCCACACACGGCAUGAACUAGCUAACCAUGCGUGUCUGCAUGCAUGCAACCAAACAACAGGACGGAGCCGAGGCGUGAGCGGGAGGAGGAGGAUUACGGGAGCGCGAGCCCCAAGAGCCUGCUGCGAGGCCCAGGAAUAUGUGAGAGCGACGGGUCAUGGUGCCGCGCCCUCGCAGCAGCAGCAGCAGCAGGUGGCUACAACUACAUGCGCGUCAUGCAAGCGGCCAUGGGCAUGGCUGCUCCUCUUCCUCCUCACGCGGAGCCGGAGGUGGAGCCCCGGGGCGGCGCGGGAAUAAAGCGGCAGCAGCAGCAGCGGCCCGCCGCAGCAGACGGCGAACACGCCGCCCCUCCUCCUCCCCCCAGCGACAGCAAGCUCUUCACAUUCUUGGGCUUCGUGGUGGCGCCGGGCCCUCCCCAACCCGCCUGCUGCAGCAGCAGCCGUGACCACCCUUUUGAGGUAUGCACUGCACACCACUGCACUGUCUCCUCUCGAUCGGCUAGGGAUCGAUCGAUCCAUCGGAUCCAUCUCAUCUCGCUGGGGGAGAGAAGAAGGAAAGCGAGUGAUCAGGGGCACGGCAGGGGGACAAAGCGCAUGGAUGGACGGAUCGUCUCAGGCUCUCAGCCCCAGCGCACUGCUCGGCUCGGCCCCCCGCUGUCCUGUUGCUCUGCGCCCCGCGCAGCAGUGCGAACUGCGAAGGGAGAGGGAGGGGACGCAUCGCAUCGCAUGGUCGCAUGCAGCACCCUGUCUGUGGGACUGUGGGACUGUGGGUCGAUGGAUUCAUACUCCUUUUUCUCUGCAGUGCCGUGUUUUUGUCCUCGCGUGGCCUAGCUCGCUACUGCAGCGCACGCGUGCUCCCUCUCUUCUCCCCGAGUUCCAGUAGACAGUAGUAGCACCAAAAAGGCGAAAGCUUUGAAGUGACCGCCUGACUGGCCUGAGAGUCAGUCAGGCAUACUGCCUUUUCCUUUUGUGCACACUAGUUUACUUGCUAAGAAAAAAAAAAGUAAGAUAGACCUACUAGUGGUAUCAUAAAACACUACACAAGAAAAAUGCUGACGAUACAAAACUGGACGUGACAAACUUAAACACAAAUUUAAGUUCUCAUCGUGAUGACAAUCCUAAGCUGCUUUAAAUUUGUGGUAAGUACUUGGUUUACUCAAUGUUAACGAUCGAAUGCAUAAAUGGUUUGCAUGCAGAUAGCCGGCAGGACCCCCACCCAGAGCGUCACCACCACGGCGAGCCGCUUGCAAUGCAGCAGCCUGGGGACGCCAAGCCACAAGGCCGUCGAGCGCCGGGCCGCCUACAAUCCGCCGCGGCCGUCUUCGGCGCACGGCUGCGGCGGCUGCUCUCUAUCGCUGUCCCUAGCACUGGACGCUGGGAGCGGCGGGCAGUGCUGCACGUACAGCGGCGAGGAGGGCAGCCUGCUGUCGUCGACGACGUCAGCUACGUCGGGGAGCCGGAUCAGCCUCGACCUGUCGCUGUCCACGUUACACCCGUCAUCAAAUUGAUUGACCUGCGCUCUGCUUGUUGUGUAGUCUGGGCCUCGGCGGGCCUCUUGGUGUAGCGUUACUGCGAUUUUCGACUGGUUGUCGUUGUAGCUUUCGGCCCAUCCAGGCAUCCAGCCCAUAUGUAAUAGCAGCCAAGUUUCCGCUAUAAUAUAUGAUGUGCAUUAGGAAGAGCUAAAAUAAGAUCCUAAUCACGAAACGAUCUUGAUCUGAUCUAAAAAUUGGCAAAUCCUAAUCUCGUGCAAAGUGGUAAGGCUAACAGAUUUUUAGAAUCCAAAAAAAUAACAGAUUUUUACGUAGGAUUUUACGAGGCUAACGGAUAUUUAGAAUUAUUAUAACAGAUUUGUUACGUAGGAUUUUUUCCCCUGCAAUCACGCUCAAAUUUGUGCGAACCGGUCAGAGUUGCCACGUGGAGCACCUAUCUUUCCAUUGCAGAUUUUUCCUCAUAGACGUUGUGACUUUUGUAAAAUUUUCUAGCACGUACGGAUAUAAGCUCCCUUUUCCUAAUCUAACUACGGGAAAUGGAAGACUGUCAUGUCAGCUUUACAAUGAGACGAGAUGAUCUCUUUCAAUGCACAAUUUUAUUUCACUAUUUCAUAGAUAUGCAAUAGCACUUAAUUCUUACAUAAUUUUUGUGAUCUGAUGUGUCUUGCCAUAAAACUAUAAUAUUCUCAAUGCACGUUUCAUUGUGUUUCAUGAAACUUGGUAAUCGAGUCAAGUGAGUUUUAUGGGAAUGAAACCGUUCCCUUCUCUCUUCGCAUAAUUAAUUUGUCAUGUCAUCAAAGUUGCUUAUGCAUCACAUGAUUUAAUGCCCAUCAAACUCUUAUGACACUCCCAUUGAGACUGACCUAACGAGCACACGCAUAUCUAACUUAAUGGGAAUCCAAAUCAAUUAAGUAAAUAAUAACAGACCAGGAAACGGCAAGCCUCAAAUUUUGGGUUCACAAACAGUACUCGUAGGACUAACGACAUCGAUUAAAACUUUUGCAACGAUAAACUAGGAACCUAAGGCUAAAAUUGCAGACGAGGACGUGCACUUAUACUGCUCCUAAAAAUGCGCAGCCAAGUACCAAGCGCCGCCAGGAAUUUACAUGCUGUAGUAGGGCGACUUGACGUUGCUGAGGUCGACCCCCCUGAGCUUGGCCGACGACUCGAGGUGGCCCCUCAACGUGUACCUCUCACGGAACUUCGCCACAUCCGCCCGCCGCAUGGCCUCCACGGCAAUCUCGGAGAGCUCCGCGGCAUAGCUGCUGCUGCUGCCCCUGCCACCCUGCUCCGACUCGGGCGCCGGCAGGCCGUGCAGGCUGCGCUGCGUCGUCGCCCACUGCGCCUCGCGCUCCUCCAUGCCGUAGUUCUUCUUCGUCGUGAAAGCCGUCUGGGACAAAGGAUCAUCAACGCAUCGUCAGACCUGCAGGCAACACUCAACUGAAAGAUGAAACGAACACAAAGACCCUAUAUACCUUGUUCUGGACGUUGCUCCAGGCCCUGCCGCUCAGCACGUAGCGGAUGGCGAACUUGAACAGGUCGAGGGGCACGAAGGUGACGAGGCUGUAGAGCCAGAUCACGCCAGCCCACCCCCACCCGAUGCAUUGGGUCUUCGCAAAGUCCAUGCUCGCGUACACGGCAAUGAGGGUGGCAACCUGAAACCACGACAGGCAGUUAAAUUUGAGCUUAGGAUUAGCAAUGGUUCCAUAUAAUCAAGCAGUGGGAGUUGAGGAGGACGGCGGGCUUACAAUCUGCGCGAUGACGAACGCUGCACACAGCAUGUAGCCGGGGCGUUCGACGUAGCACCAGCUGCGCGACCGAGUCACGAAGAUGAGGGCCUGGCUGAUGAUGCUCACUUGCAGGUACAGGGCGGACAUCAUCUCGUCGUUGCUGCCCCUCAGCGAUCUCACAUGGAACGUGUUCUGCAGUUCAAACAAGACAAGGUUAUGGCAGUGAUUCUCUCAUUGUUUUCUUCAUGCUGGGUUUGGAUCGAUUUUUCAUCGUAGGAUGCUUACCGAGAAGAAGUCAGUGCUGUUCAUGGCCCAGAAGAAGAUCACAGUCAUGACAGCCAUGUAGGUUCCGUACACAAUACCGGUAGCAAAUAUUUCAUUCAGCUUCCAGCUAUCAGGGUAUGGGGAUGGUUUUACUCUGUCCUUUGCGAUAGUCAUGAUUGUGCCUGAAAUCAUACAGCAGCAAAAAAAAAUUCAGCAUAAGACUAAGCAAUUAUUCCUGUCAUCCUCUGAAAGUCUAAAUCUGCAUUGCAAACAUACCAUCGUUCAGAAUGGCAAUGACCAAGAUCAUGAACGGUGAGAAAUCAAAUUUCCAGAUCAGCGCAAGCAGCAUGAAUCCAAGCUGCACAACACAAAGGAUUAGAUUUACCCAAUAAAAUAGCAGUGUGAUCGGUAGAUCUUUGUACAGCCUGAGGAAAAUAACUUACCACAAUACGAAUUGUAAUUGACACUGCGUAUAUCUGGAGAAAUAAAAGGAGCAGAAUUAUCAGUGGUAAUUGUUGCUGAAAGAAAGACAAAAAAGGCAUGUUCCUACGUGUAGCAGUAAGUUCUCUAGGCAUCGAAUUCUUACAGUAUAAUUCUUCAUCCUCUGAAAGAUGGCCCGGCUUGUAAGCACGGCACUGAUGAUGACACUGAGUCCUUCUAGAGUAAGCACAAUGUCAGAGGCACUCCUUGCUGCAUCAGUAGCACCAGCUACGGCAAUUCCGAUAUCGGCCUUCUUCAAGGCAGGAGCGUCAUUCACACCAUCUCCAGUCAUUCCACAGAUGUGUUUCAUCUCCUGCAGCUUCUUGACAAUAUCAUACUUGUGCUCUGCAUCAAAAUGCAGCAACAUUAGACUGAAUAAACCAUCAACUCAAAUAUAACUCCACUGCAAUUUCAGCGUGCAUGUUCACCUGGGAAGACACCGGCAAAGCCGUCAGCCUUCUCAAUCAAUUCGUCCACAGGGAUUGAAGCAGUGGCCUCGUCCUUAUUCUGCCCAAGCAGAGCUGAUGACGGGUACAUGUUAGUGCCCAUCCCUAGCCGUCUCCCAGUCUCCUUGGCAAUGGCGAGCUGAUCACCUGUAGGGUGUCACAGUCAUGUUAGCCAGACAAACUUCCCAGGCCUGCAGCAUAAAUACUAAAUAGUAGAGUUAGAUGAUGAAAGACUGAAUGUACCAGUGAUCAUCUUCACGUUGACGCCAAGGUUGAGAGCACGCGUGAUGGUGUCAGCGCUGUCUGAUCGGGGUGGAUCAAGCAGAGGGAGCAGGCCAACGAACUCCCAAGGCUCUCCAGGGCUUUCUUUGCUCUUCUCGGGUACUUGCUGUGGUAAAGCAUGAUAAAUAUCAAGAAAAUAAAGACGCAACUCAUAGAAGUAAACUUGACUUUAUCAUGAAAAGGUAAAUCAUACCUGUCUUGCAACUGCAAGAGAUCGAAGGCCACGCUCUGCGUACUUGUCGAUCACAGUGUGAACCAGGUUCCUGACAUUAUCUCCACAGUUGCAGAGGUCCAAGAUCUGCAUGAGUAUGCAUGCCAUGUUUAGUAACAGACAAGUGAUGUGAAGCCGUGCAGGAAGAAAGAAAGAUUUUUUGGGUGGAAAAUAAGACAAUGGGAUGAUGACGAAUAAACAAACAAGUGAUCUGAAGCCGUGCAGGAAGAAAGAAGAAUUUUUGGGUGGAAAAUAAGACAAUGGGAUGAUGACGAAUAAACAACCUGCUCAGGAGCGCCCUUGCUGACACGGUGCCAGCUGCCGUCGGCGAGGUCAAUGUAGGUGAGGGCCGUGCGCUUGUCGACGGGGUUGAAGGGGAGGAAGUGCACCUCCUCGAUGCCUUCCCUGGCCUCCCUGGGAUCACUCAGCAUGCCAACCAUGGCGGCGUCGAUGGCGUCUUGGUUCUCCACCCUGGAUGCCCUGGCCGCGAACAAGAUAACAUCCUCCUUCUCAACGCCCGCGGCAAAGAUCUCGAUAAGGCUUAGGUCGAUGCUGAGCUUGUUGAGGGUGAGCGUGCCGGUCUUGUCGCUGCAGAGCACGUCCAUGCCGGCCAUCUCCUCGAUGGCCGUCAUGCGCUUGGUGAUGGCGCCCUGCUCGGAUAACCGGUGCGAGCCGAUGGCCAUCGUGACCGAGAGCACGGUGGGCAUGGCGAUGGGGAUGCCGCCGAUCAGAAGCACGAGGAGGUUGUCGAUGCCGUCGCGGUACCGGCGGUGCUGGAUGGGGUACAUGACGAUGACCUCGAUGAAGAUGCCGACGGCGAUGGAGGCGAUGCAGAAGUUGCCGAUGGCUCUGAGCACCUUCUGGAAGUGACCGACCUGGUUGGUGCUGUCCACUAGGUGCGCCGCCUUGCCGAAGAAGGUGUGCACGCCGGUGGCGAUGACGACGGCCUCGAUCUCGCCCUGCUUGCACGUGGAGCCCGAGUAGACGCUGCUGCCGGGGUUCUUGGUGACCGGGAGGCACUCGCCGGUGAGGGCCGACUGGUCGAUCUUGAGCGGGUCGCCCUGGAGCAGGCGCGCGUCGGCCGGGAUGAUGUCGCCGAGCUUGAUGCUUAUGACGUCGCCCGGGACGAGGACGGCCGCGUCCUCAUCGCUCCAGCGGCCGUCGCGGAGCACCUUGGUCCUCGGCGCCAGGUUGGCCAUGAGCGCCUUGGCCGCGCUCCCGGCAGUGUUCUCCUCCCAGAACGAGAUGGUGGAGUUGAUGAGGAGAAGCCCGACGAUGCCCACGAAAUCUUGCCAAUCCGGUGGCCUGUGGUCGCCAUUGGCGAGCACGAUGGCAAUGAGGGCGGCACACUCCAUAACCCACGACAGAGGAUUCCACAUGAACCCUAGGAACUUGAGCACCUUGCUCUCCUGCACAUAUACGGCACCAUUGUUACACGAUGUGAACACCUUACAGAUCGAUCUAAACAUACACAAACUACGGGGAGAAAAGGAGCGAGAUUAAUCACUAAUCAAGCUGGCUGCACUAGACGGAUCAUGAUCUAACCUUCUUCUCCUCCAGUUUAUUCGGCCCAAACAUGGUGAUGCGCGCCUCGGCUUCCGAUGUGGUGAGGCCUUUGCUGCUGCAUUUGAGUUUUACGAACACCUCCUCCACCGGGAUGUUCUCCUGAAGGUAGACGCAUUGUUAGAUUAGAUCGAAACAAAGAGCAAUUGAAGCCCGGCCGAUCUCAGAACAAAAAUAGCUGAGCAAAACCGGAUUGACAGAUCGAUCGAUUGAAUCAAAAGAUGAAAACGAGGCAAACGAACGAAAAAGACGCAGAUCGAAUCAAUCUAACCAGAUCAACGGAUUCCUCCUUGAUCUCGUCGAGGCCGUCCAUGGCAGCCGCCGCCUCGCGGGCAAAACCCUGGCCUGCCAAAACCUCCCACGCGAAAACCUCCCACGCGAAAACCCAGCGGUAUCUGCGUGCCGAAGAGAGAGAGGAGGAGAUAUCCAAAACCACGUCGUUUAUUUAUAGGGCAGUAGCAUUAGGAGUCCUCGUGACAGAUAUGGACGUUGAAAAGAAAAAGGAUUGGUUUCCCCUCUCUCUCGAUCUCUCUCACGAUCUCCUCCUCCCCCGUCGCGUCCUCUCACGCUCAUGUUCGGCCCACGGCAGGCCCGCGUGAGAAAUUAUCUAGUAGUAGUCGUACCACCAAAAUAACAGAAUUGCGCGUAUUUUUACUAACCGAUACACGCUAUUUUCCUUCGUCCGGUUCAUCGUACCAGUCCGGCAACAAAAAUCCCUGAGACUCUUCCCUGAACGCAAGAAAAGUUUGAAUUUGAAGGUUUGAACAGUACUACGUACAGAUGACUUUGAAUCUCCUCCGCUCAACAAGUACAUGCGUCGAAAGCUCCGUUCAACAAGUACAUGCAUGGGCGACGAGAUUUCCAAGGUAUUCUUGACACGCGAUCUGGCAUGGUUAAAACCCCUGCGCCCGUGUGCCAUCCAAACCUGCCGAUCGCGCAAAUCGCGGCCACCACUCCGAUCAAACGAUUCAAACCAGACCUCACCGCCUUCCUACGACGUGCAUGGCCACGCCGCCGCAGCCGCUGCCGGCGGUGACGCGCGCCGCCAACGAGAUCGGCGGCGGCGCCACGUCCGACCAGCAGGGGACGGGCGGCGCGGCGGCGCGGAGGGCGGUCAAAUCGCUGCUGUUCCUGGCGGCCGUCGCCCUCCCUUGCCUCGCGCUGUACCGGGCCGUGGCGCCCGGAGCCGGCCUCGUGCUGCCCGGUGCCGCCGCCGUGCCCUGGCGGCUGGGCGCACCGCGCGACGACGUCGGCCUGGUGAGUACGUGACGCCAUUCAAGAGGAGUUUCUGAUUAUCUCACAGCUAUACAGCGUUUUUCUAUUGUUAUUAUCUGCUUGUGAAAUACAGUGUUGUGAUCCGAAAUGUCACCAAGAACAGACGAACAGUCUCCUUAUGAUUUUCUUUAUUCCCGAUGUUCAAGUGGAACCAAGAAAAAAAUGAAAGAAAUUGUAACCAUUGGACUUGCUGCACCCUCAAUGCUAAAUAUUUUAAGUGAUUACUGAAUAGAAGAAGAGGAAUGGAUGAACUGAUGGAAUCCUAUUCACAAUUCCAUGGAGUAUACAGACCACCAAUGGUGGACUGACGCUUUGUACCCUUUCUUUUACUUUAGCUGCUGAUGCUGAUUUAAUAAAAUGGCUAUAUAUAGUACUACUAGUCAACCUCGCCUCCUUUAGCAACGUGCAAGAAUUAUGCUUUUACCUGUAGUCGCCGUGCUAUGCUAUUCAGCAUUGUGAUCCAUGCAGCCACUUGGAUUCUGCUGAGUGAACCAGAACUUCAUCUCUCUUUUUUUGGAUGAAAACAAGAAUUUUCAUGUUACAUAAAAGUUCUUCCUUGCUCUGCAACAAUGGCGGGCUAAUCGUCCGUAGAUCGAACUGCCGUGAUUAAACUGACUGACGCGCUCUCUGUAUGCAGGAUGGCGAGGACGCGAGGCUGGAGCGGGUCCUGAGGGGGGCGGCCAUGGCCAACGACACGGUGAUCCUGACGACGCUGAACUCGGCGUGGUCAGAGCCCGGCUCCGUGCUGGACGUCUUCCUGGAGAGCUUCCGUGCCGGCGAGAGCACCAGGGAGCUCCUGGACCACCUCGUCAUCGUGUCGCUGGACACGACGGCGCACGCGCGCUGCAGGCAAAUACACCGGCACUGCUUCGCGCUCGUCACCGACGGCGUCGACUUCUCGGGGCAGAAGAACUUCAUGACCGACGGCUACCUCAAGAUGAUGUGGCGGAGGAUCGACUUCCUCAGGGAAGUUCUCGAGAAAGGCUUCAGCUUCAUUUUCACGGUAUGUACCAGAUCAAUUUAAUUCUGAUUCUGAAACGACAUUCUGAAUGUGCAUAGAUUCUGAACUCUGAAUAUUCCAGGACACGGACAUCGUGUGGUUUAGGAACCCGCUGCCGCACUUCUACCCGGACGGAGACUUCCAGAUCGCGUGCGACCACUUCACCGGCAACCCGGACGACUUGAGCAACUCGCCCAACGGCGGGUUCGCGUACGUGCGUUCCAACACGGAAACGAUCGAGUUCUACAGGUUCUGGUACGCGGCGAGGGAGAAGCACCCGGGGCUGCACGACCAGGACGUGCUCAACUCCAUCAAGCGCGACUCCUUCGUCGCCGAGCUCGGCGUCAAGAUCAAGUUCCUCAGCACCGAGCUCUUCGGCGGCCUGUGCGAGCCGAGCCGGAACAUGAGCAGGGUCUGCACCAUGCACGCCAACUGCUGCAUCGGGCUGAGCCGGAAGAUCAGUGACCUCAACGCCAUGCUCCAAGACUGGAGGAGGUUCAUGGCGUUGCCGCGCGACGAGAAGCAUUCCGUUUCAUGGACUGUACCACGCAAUUGCAGGUAACCAAAACAUGUUCGACAUCGACAAUAUGCGUACUAUGAAUUUCUGAUCAAGAGGAAGCUAUCUUUGCAGUCUUCAGAAACUGGAGCGGUAGGACACCAGGAAGCUGUCUGCUUGUCCAGUGAUUGUUUCAGACUUAGAACAUGGAUAAUGUAAAUAAAGUUCCUUUUAGUUUUUUGUAAUGUAUGUAGCUGAUGUUAACCAAGGGAACAACCGCGUAUUGACUGCCAUAGUGAAUUAUUCGCAUUGACUCCCUGUAAGCAACUGAGAGGGGCUGAAUGAUGCAACCAAAUGUAAGUUCAGGAAAUAUACAAAGCUGCUAUUCGUUCUCUUUCCAGAUGCGUGUAUUUCAUUUUUAACUGAAAUGAAGGAAUCUUCUUUUUUUUUUCGAAAGACCGAAAUGAAGGAAUCUUCAUUUGCAAAGUUUCAGAAUGCAGCCCCACAACCUAAUAUAAUCACAUAUUCACAUGCGAGUAAAGAUUCCCUUCUGGGAAAAAUACGUUAAGGUGCUUGCACAUUGUUGCCCCAAACGCCGGUGCAGUGACAUUUGCAGCCGUGGUUUAGCUUCAGAGUUCAGACAUCUGGAUUCCUCGAUCCUCCGUGCCAUUGCCAUCUCACCUGCUAACAGAAAUUGAGAUUCAGAGAUGUAUAAGAAUCUAUCAAUGCAGUAGCUGGAGCAUCAAACCGGUGUGCAGAGGUGGGAUUCCAAUGCGGUUGCCCCAAAUGGCGAUUCCAAUCUCGUCCUCAGUCCUCUGUUCCUCACGAAUCACGAUCCUCUUCUGAAGCUCUGACACUUGCAAACACAGCGUAGCAGCAGGAAUGGAAGAGGCAGGCACAGGAGAGCGAGCGAGGGUAGAGCACAGGUCGGCUUCCAACAAAACCUCCUGCUCCUCUGCAUGCCCCUUCCACUGCUGCUGCUACAGCCUGAAAACUAUCCCUGAUCCCUACCCCUACUCCUAAGAAAAUGCUUCGCCACAUAGCCAUUGGACAUGGGUGGCUUAUUUGUAGGCAGGAGCCAUGGUCAGUUGGUCACACACACUCCAGUAGUACAAGCUGCAGUACACAUUGAAACAGCUCGGCGGCUUGUACUUCAGGCUCGCGAGAUUUCCGAGUGUACUGGCGGUUUUCAGUUGUACGCUUGUACUACUGCAGAAGCGCUUGGCAACGGCGACGGCCAAGCCACACAUCCCCUUGGCGAGGCAGUCUACGCCACAUGCUUCACUUUCAACAACCCCGUGUGCCCAUUGUCCUAAUCCAGCCAGUUUUUUUUUCCCCUUUGUUGCGUGUUUGAUCUGCUAGAGCCAGCAGGCAAAUCAAAGUUGCGCAGUGGAAGCGAAAAACAGCAGUCAGGAUGCAGUACGAGUGCUCAUUUUAUAGACAUCGACUGCGUGCCAGUGUUUUUAUUUCACUAUUUCUGACCAGGUCUCUUUCGGUUGUUAAGACACAAAACUAUAGUAACCAACCUGCCCCUUUACAAAGUUUUUUUUUGUUGCAUCAGUUAAUGUUAAAGGGUUGACACUGGUAGGAUCUCUUUUUGCAAGCACAAGGGAACGCAUGAUUCAUUAGUAGCGGUUGCAUAGUCAUACAGCCUAAAAGUUAAAGUUUAUCCUGUCGUCCAAACAUCUGUUUGGAAAUCAGGUAGGUCAUCGUGCUCUGUUUGGUUGAUUAUCAUAUAAGCAAGCAUCCACCCAACCAACUGGGACCAAUAAAUUAACAGAUAAAUGUCACCAAAAAGAAAGGUUAAUAAGACACCUCAGAUCUUUUUGUCUCCUACAGCAAAGAGCCCUAACUUGCCAUGUUACUAGCUGAGCUAUGUACAAUAAAGCCAAUACUACGGUGCUACCUGCUUUCUGAAAGCAGCAACAGAUUAAGAGCAGUAUGGGGCAUCUGAUCAACCAUACAGCAAAUGCAACUUUUGUAUGCACCAAAAGAAAAGGGAUUUGCUCAUAGUUACAUUGUUGACAAUACAAAUCUUGCUUGCCGAUACAAAUAAAUUGUACCUCAACUCCGCAAAUAAUUAGCCUAAAGCCUCUCUGACAAAAUUUCCUGUAAUUCUACUGGAUUUAUUCAGCAAAAUUGGAUGAUAAAACAAGAAAUGACUAGUAGAAGAAUGGAUUGAGAUCAGGCAUUCCUGUCCAGAGCUCCCCUGAGUAAAUGCAACCCUUCCAAGGAAAUGCUUCUUCGGACUCGGGAUCUUGGGAUGUCAAUUUGAGGGGGUGGAUUGGAUGAGAAACAUAUAACCACAACAGUCAAGUUAUCAUAACUAUCCCGUUUCAGCGCUUCCUGGACUAGCUCACUUGAGCACCUCUCUGGGUUGUUAUGUUGCAUCAGUUCUUUCCUUACGAUCGUCACAGCACACUGACUGGUCAUCACAUCCCAAAGCCCAUCACAGCCUAUUAUUAAGAACUCAUCUUCUUCAGAAAGUACAAUCUCCUGCAGCUCAGGUUCUGCACUCAGAGGGCUAAUUGAGCCUUUCGGGCCUUUCAUGUGCCAAUCUCCAAGUGCCCGUGCUACUGCUAGCUGACCAUUAAGAUAGCCGUCAAAAACAGUACCACCUAGUUUUUCAAUUCUAAUCUUCUCACUCUUGCAGUUGGGUUUAUGGUCUCUCGAUAGUUCCACUGCCCGACCUCUUUUUCCUAGAACAGCUCGACAAUCACCUGCAUUCGCAACGAACAGUGUCCUGCAGUGCAGAAACAUGGAAAAACUUUGCUGAAGACCCAAAAGAAUCAGAAAAAUAAAGACUUGGCUAUGUACACCAUUGCGACAAACAACACAAACAUGCACGUAGUUGCAUCUGCUUUUAAAACAGUGAUCCUAUUUUUAAGGCUUGAAUCAAAUAAUGCAAGAAAAGAAGAUGUAUAAGAAAGAUUGCUGUAUAGCUAGAAUGGUAUCAGAUAUUAAAUGGUGCUGCCAAAAAGGAGGAGAAAACUAUUGCGGUAACAAGUAUAUAACUAAUCAUCAGUCAAUGCCAAUUGUCAACAUCUAGCCUUUAUAAGAGAAACAGUCUAUCAGAAAUACAUUAAGCAAAAGAUGCUGGUCAGUGAUCAGAUGUUCAUUGUAUAUUUUCUAGACAAAAGGAUUCCAGCAUUUAUUGAAGGCCGCACGCAUGUUCUAAUUCAUUGUAUGCUUGAUAUCAUCAUCGGACAACCACCAAACUAUUUAGGAAUGGUUUCUUUUAAAAAAUAAUUAUGAACGUGUUCAAAAAAGAAACAUUUUGAUGCGCUGACAUGCAAAACUCACCUGCCAAAUAUAAGAGCCGUCAAUGCAGUGGUUCCAGAAUUGUUGUCAAGGGAAUGGGAAUCUGCUAGUGCAUGAUCAGCCUUCAGAAAUGCACCUCUUAUUGCCUUUUCAACAUUGUUGGGGAAAUGCAUAUCUUCAACAAUGAAUUUGAGUAUGUUCUUGCGAACAAAGCAUGCUGCAUCUGUACCGCCAUGACCAUCAAACACCUACAUUUUGGUGCACAGUAAAUAAUUGCACUCCAAUUCAGUCCCUACAAUGUUCUUGCCACACUCAGAUAAUGACACAUAUGCACACUUCUUGCUUCAACAUGGAAGAAAAUAACGAAGAAACUGUCAUCAUGAUUCAUGUUGGUGUCACAUAUCAUAAGCAUCAAGAAAACUUUUAGUGCCUCUUUGGGGUGCAGGGAUUAUGUAGGAAUUUCAAAAUAAACAGUUCAAUUCUUGACGGAACAAGGAAAGCUUCGCAAUAGUUCCUGGCAAUUUUGUAAAAUCACUAAGCAAGCCCUUUUUUUACAAUGAUUACCAUAAAAGUAUCCUGCCAGAUAUUCAGACUGAAAACUUUUCAAAAAGAUAUUCAGACUGCCCAUGCUCAAGCUGAAUGGAGUAGCAUUUGUAGCCAUGAUUGCAACACUAUCAUCCCACCAAAUUGCCCGUUCAUGAACUGAAAACAAAGAUCAACUAUACGUUCACACCACCAUUUCCAUACUUACGUGAAUGUGACCUGAGAUGCCAACGAGAACUCACCCCGUAGAAGGCGCCCGGGGCAGGGAUGCCGGCGGCGCGCCCCCCGAGGUGCUCGAUAAGGUUGUCCACACAUACGUGCUCGUCCUCCAUAUACGACUUGGGCCCAAUCUCAGCGCAGCUCCCCGAUCGGAACACGGGCAGGAACCCCGGCCGGACGUCCGUGGGCGAGAUCAAGCUCAGCGUCCCCAAAUCCAUGCCCUGCAGCGCAUAAAAAGCCGUCAAAAAGUUGUGCGGGAGAAGCGAGAAAUCACUCGCGGUAAUGGGUUGUUGGGCUUGGGGUGCUCACGUAGUCGGAGGACGCGGCGGCGGCGGCGAUGCGCAUGCUGCUGGCGCAGUGGCGGAUCGAGGUGAGUUGGUGGCGCGGCGGCUUGCCGACACCGACGUCCAUGGAGGGGCUGUCCGGCGGGGUCUGCGGCUCCACGCUCCCAUUCAUGUCUCUUCCGGCAAUCUGUAAUGGAAAAAAAAAAAGCAAGAGGAUUGCAUUGGUUGCAAGCAAUCUGAACAUGCAAUAAGUCAAUAAUGUAUAAUUUUGUUCUCGGAUCAAACCAGAUGAUGAAAUAUCACGAAUUGGAGAAAGAAAUUUGAAUUAGUAGAGGCAAUAACAAAAGGAAAAUUCCAACGUUACAAUUAUAGUUAUGAGGGGUAAAUUACGCUAUUGGAUAGCAACAGUUGAGAUGGAGGACACUACAAUUAAUGGUUGAAACCCAACAAAAAAUCAAAAUAGAGAAAUUUAUGGAGACGAUUUGUUUCGAUGGGAUUAGAUCGAGGAAACCGCAGGAGAGAGCCAGCCUUACCGGUGAACCGUCGCUGCCGUACGUGUGUGACGGAACGGUGGUGGAGCCGGAGGAAGGAUUCCGGUUUGCUGUGGAGCGGGCGAGGAACUGAGGAAGGAAGGAGCGAAGGCGUCGUCGUCGAUGCGGAGGUGUGGUGGGGGAGCAGGGACGAGGCAGGGGGAGCCGGGUAGACCGAGACGUGGUGCUGGCCUGUGUGCUCUGUGCUCGGCUAACGGCUACGGCUAGGCUAACUGGCUAAGCCUUGGCUUGGGUCAAGCGCGUGCCCGUCCGGCAGAGCGGACGCGAGCCGCGAGCGGGGUAGCUUGGCUUCAUGGGUGGGACCGAGCCGAGCCAGCCCACGGCAUCACCGUCACAUCAGCCUUUCGCCGUUGCCCGCGGCCCCCGUGACACCCCCCGCGGGCGGCGGAUCCGCGCGCCCAACGGUGCCGUGCACCGCUCUCUUUCUGCCGCCGUGCCGCGUUGCGUGGGCGGUGGCCGCCUGGCCGGUGGGCGGCGGCAGGCGCGUGCGCCGUGCCGGGGUUGCCAUGGCCCGGGGUUUUUUUUUUUCCGUUUUGGCGAGGCUUUAUCUAUUUUGAUCGAGUUGGGAUCAGGGAAAAACUGUACGGUGCAUCUGACGUCUAAAAAAAGAUAGUUAAAAAGCUGAAACGGCUGAUUUGUUGUGAGAGGAAACACUAUUUGAUGGCUGAUAAGCCGGCUGAAUAAGCUGAAACGAACGGGACGAAUCUUUUCACCCGCGCAGUGCAACGAGGGUCACGACCAUACAUGUAAAGCGUGCUUCGCUGUCUGCAUGCACGAACCUGCGAUCGCGAUCGGUGCACCGCCGCGCCGACGCAACCUUGCGUCGCAUCAUGCGUCUGUUUACGGCUUUCUGACGAGAAAACUUUGUGAUUGCGUCAUGCUCAAAUUGCCGCAGUCCGGGUACCGUUGAGAUUCCGUUUUACCUUUUUCAGGGAAUGCUGGUUGCAAGCAAAGCGAUUAACCCCCACAUGAGAAUAGCGGCGGGGCACUAGAUUGAGGUCAUGGGCUGAUGGUGACACGAUAUCUUUAUAGAUCAAGUCAUCAUGAUGAACACAAACGCACCCCACGAAAACAAGAAAAAUAGUCCCAACUGAAAACGUAAUCUGAAGCCUGUACGGUCGAGUUCAGGGAUUACACCUUACAGAAAAUCGGUCCAUUUCUGCUGCAUCGUCUCUCUCGGCAAACCCUGUAUAUUCUCUAUGGAAGAAGAACACCGGGCAGUGAACCCAAGCACGACAAAGUUGUUCUGCCCCUUCUCACCCUGAUCGAGCGUAAUAAUGUAAUGUACGUCGUAGUACGUGGUUUCGUUUCAGUUUUCUGAACCGAACACGGCCCCUGGCCUACAAGAACGGGGCCGGCCUUAUGCCUCGUACACCUUGCACUCGUCGGUCUCGGGGUUGUCCUUGCAGAAGUCCUCCAGAGGGUCGCCGCUGCCGCCCGCCGCCGCCGCGCCCGGCCACUUGGCCGCCACCAGGUGCGCCAAAUCAACCACGCGUUGGCUGCACGCACGCAACCCCAGCGAGCGUUAGCAAAUAUACUGUCAGUGUGCGCAACGCGCAGUUUCAGUUGCAGAUGCAGAUAAGCACGUACCUGUAGCCCCACUCGUUGUCGUACCAGGCGACGACCUUGACCAUGUCGUCGCCCAUGACCAUGGUGAGCGAGGAGUCGAUGGAGGAGGACACGUCGGAGCACCUGAAGUCGACGGACACGAGCGGCUCGUCGCAGACCUGCAGCACGCCCUUGAGCGGGCCGGCGGCGGCCUUGCGGAACGCCGCGUUAACGUCGUCGGCCGUCAUGCCCUUCUUCUCCGUGUUGAUCACCAGGUCCACCACGGACACGUUCGGGGUCGGCACGCGGAGCGCGAUGCCGUUCAGCUUGCCCUUCAGCUGGGGAAGCACCAGGGCAACGGCCUUGGCAGCGCCGGUGCUCGUCGGCACGAUGUUCAGGGCCGCCGCACGGGCCCUCCUCAGGUCGCGGUGGGACGCGUCCAGCAGCCGCUGGUCGCCGGUGUAUGAGUGUGUCGUCGUCAUGGUUCCCUUCACAAUCCCUGCACAUCAUCGCGAAAACAUUCGUCAGAUGAGUGUGUACAGUGUCUGACUCGUGGGGCGCACUUAUCAG
rnacentral:lncRNA from 1 species